rnacentral:lncRNA from 1 species
UCUUUUUUAAGUCAAUAUUGGCAGUUGCAGUUUUCUUUAUGAGAAGUUUUAAUUUGAUGUUAAAUAUAAUGUCCUCUGAUAUGACCCCUCUGCAUAAUGUGAUGUAUGUAUUUUGAUAUUCAAAUAACGCAACACUUUAUUGUGUUUAGAGUUUAGAUGUUUUCUUUUAACUCAAAUUCAAAGGGCUUAGCUUAACGAAAACCAUACACUUCCCAUUCCCAACUAGUCAGUCUGUGCCGCUGUUCUUCAAUAUAUUUUGGUCUAUAGUAAUGAAGGAAUUAAUGAUUAUUACAUCUUAUCAACAACAAAAUAUAACAUAAAACUUACAAUUUUACUUCUAAUCUUUUUCCCAUUGCCUUUUUUUGUGAAGGUCACCUAACUAAAGAGAGUGAUUUAUACAAUUUUGGGGUUGUUCUCUUGGAAAUUAUGUCAGGCAAACAUGCAUUAGAUAACAACAGGCCAUUUUUGGAUCGUAAUUUUUGGAUCGUAUAGAAGGACAAUACUCAUCGAGUGAAGCAAUGAAAUUAGCUCACAAGUUUUGUUAACAAGACCCAAGUAGGAUCAAAUUGAUAAGUUUUAAAGUUAAGGGAACCAAAAAAGUAUUUAGGUCUUAAAAAAAAUCCAUGUUUAUUCUUUUGUGCAAGAAAGAAAAUAGUAACUUGAGAACAAAAGAGAAAAAAGUCCAAAAAGUUUCCGUUUUAGUUCUUUCAAAAAAUUUCUUUAAUUAUUGGUCCUCUAAACACUCUAAUAUCAAUUUUAGUCUCUGCUUUCUUGUAAAAGUUCACGUUAUGUGUUUCAACUUUCAAACGACUUUUUUUUAUGACAUAUAGUUUAAAAAAGCAUAAAGUUUCACUAGUUUAAUAAUCUAAUUAUUCAAUCUUAAAAUUUAACUAUUUAAUUCAAAACAGGGGUAAAAAUGCAUUUAAAUUUUUUUAAUGACAAAUAUUAAUAAUUAGUUGUUAGGUUUUUUUUUUCUCAUUUAUCCAAGUUUAAACCAUGACCUCCAAUAUUUUAUCCCUUAACUUUAACCAAUUGAGAUACAAUCCUGAAAAAUAUAUUCAAACUAAAAAUAAUAACAUGAUUAAGUUCAAACGACGCACCUCCAGCUUAAUUUUUAUACGAUAUUUGUUUGUUUUUAGUCCUGUAUUUAACAAAAAAAUAGCGUGGCCAUAAUUUCUUAUCCGUCUGAGUCAAAGAAAUAAUAAUUUCUUAUCUAUCUUCUAUGAAAGAUUAAUUAAAAACACACAUAAUUAGUUUAUUAUUUUAUAAUAAAGGUAAAAUACAUAUUUAACUACUAUGGUUUUGUUGUGGCUCUAUUCUUUCUUUCAACUUGAUCAUAAAAAAAACCGAUUAGAGCAGCAGCCAGGACACUGAAAAUUAACAAGAGACAAGAAGAGGUCCAAUCCAAGAGUUCUUUGUUCUUGAAUUAGUUUUAUGUUCAUGGCUUGCUGCUUUAGAGGAAGGGUCAAAGUUGAGAGUCCUACACAUAAUGGUAUCAUUAAUGUUAUUCUAUUUUCCCCCCUUCUAUUUUUUAAUUUUCGAAAUAUUUACCCUAAAAUAAAACUUGAGAAAUAUUUAGUUUAGCAGGUAUUUUUUUUGUGUUAACCCUAGGAAUCAAACUCAGAUCCGAACAAUUCGUCUUUUGGUGGAAUUCUUGUUUAGCUUGUAUCUGAGCUUUUUUUUUUAAAUAAAAUGAUUUUGAUCUCAAAUUGCUCAAAGUUCUUUUUUUUUAAUACACCAAAAAGAUUAAUGGUAUUGACACUAUUGGUAGAAAAAUAGUUGGCAGAAUAUGGCAUAAAAGUUAGUUCAUUUUUCUAUUAUGAUAUGGUUGAAUUCAAAGGUUGUUGGAAGGGAAGAGGAUGUUUUGAGUGGUUUAAGCAACAAGGCAUCCUCUUCAUCUGUGCUUCUAACUUCAAAGACUGAGGGUGAGAUAUUACAAUGCAACAAUUUGAAGUGUUUCACAUUCAAUGAGCUAAAAACUGCUACGACGUACUUUCAUCCAAGCGGUCAAGUGGAUGAACGUGGGUUUGGUAGUGUCUUUAAGGGGUGGAUCGAUGAGCACACGCUAGCUCCUACUAAACAAGGUACUGGUUAUGUUGUUGCUGUUAAGAUGUUUAUCAAAGAAAGCAGCCAACUGGGACAGAAUGAAUGGUUGGUGAGUGUCAUUUUAUUAUUUCAUUUUGAAGUUUAUGAAACUUAUUUUCUUUAGCAAAUUAAAUAGAUUAUGACAGAUGAGAAUUCUGAUGAGACUAAUUAAACCUUAUAUUUUAGGCAGAAAUCAAUUAUCUUGGGCAGCUGCAUCAUCCUAAUCUCGUGAAACUGAUUGGUUACUGAUUAGAGGAUAGCUACCGAAUUUUUGUGUACGAAUUUUUGGCCGAGGGAAGUUUGGAUAAUCAUUUGUUUAGAAGUAUGUUGUUAAUCAUUGGUUACAGCUUCUACUAUUAUCUUUUUUAUAUCAUGUUUUUUCUCAUCUGUCCCUAAUAUUUGCAAUUACACUUUUCUUUAUGAGAAAUUAUAAUCUGAUGUUAAAUACGAUUCCUUCAAAAAAUUGUUUGUGUUUGUGAAAUAUAAGUAAGAGCGACAUUUAGAAACAUAUAUAAUGUCGCAUAUGGUGUAUGUAUUAUGAUAUUACAACUAUUUUUUUAUUGUAUUUAGAGUUUAGAUGUUUUCUAUAUUUUAACUCAAAUUCAAAUAGCUUAACCAUCCACUUCCCAUUCCCAACUACUCAGUUUGUGCUGUUGUUCUUCACUAAAACAAGUAGUAAUUAAGGAAACCAUUAUUGCAUCGACCAACAACAAAAUAAAGCAUAAUACCUACAAUUUUACUCCUAACCUUUUUCUCAUUGUCAUUUUUGUGAAGAUUACCUAACCAAGGAGAAUGAUGUAUACAAUUUUGGGGUUGUUCUCCUGGAAAUUAUGUCAGGCAAACGUGCAGUGGAUAAAAACAUGCCGCUUCAGGAACAAAAUUUGGUUGAAUGGGCCAAGCCAUUACUCAACAACAAACAUAAAAUCUCUCAAGUUAUGGAUGUUCGUAUAGAAGGUGAAUACUCAUCGCGUGAUGCAAUGAAAUUAGCUCAUAUUAUAAUUCAAUGUCUGUCUGAAAAACCAGAAUAUAGACCAAAAAUACAAGAGAUUGUGAGAUCACUGGAGCAACUUCAGCAUUCCGAUGACACAGUAGGUGGAGUACGGAGCUCUUAAUCUCAUAAUCAACCAUCAAAACAAAUGGUCAUUAUCUCAUUUCUAAAGCAGCAAUGGUUUCAAACAACAUGGAAAAAGAAUCUGUGAAUCUAUAAGUGGAGAAUGUAAUUCUAAUUUGUUUUCAUGUGUCUCUCUCGUUAUAAGUAGAAGAUGAAAUUUUUGGCAUACUUCACAUACCUCAAACAAUAUACAUUGUUUUAAAGAAUAUAUACAGAGCUGGUGCUUCCUAUGUGUAAGAACUAAAUGAAAUGUUAUAUUGUCAUAAUAUAAUGCACAUCAUGUUAAUAAUAUAAAUCUUAAUCAUAGUAUACCAUGUCAUGAUCAAAUUCUUUUAAUAGCAAACGUUAGUGAUUAGUUGUUAGAUUGGGUUUUCUCCUUCGUCCAAGUUUAAACCAUAAUCUUCAACUCCUUAUUCUUUAACUCGAACUAAUUGAGUUAUCCAAUUUAUAAAAAAAAAAAUGCUUAUAAAAAAAAGUAUCCAUCCGAGUCAAAGAAAUAAUAAUUUCUUAUCGACCUUCUAUGAAAGAUUAGUUAAAAGCACACAUAAUUAGUUUAUUAUUUUCAUAAAGGCAAAAUACAUAUUUAACUACUAUGGUUUUGUUGUGGCUCUUCUCUUUCUUUCAACUUGAUCAUAAAACAAUCAAUUAAAAUAGCAGCCAGGACAAAAAUAAUUGUUUUUAGUUUUACACGUUCACAUUUGCUUUUCUUCUCUAUAAUUUCAAUGCGUUGCUUAUACAAACUUAUGUAUAGAAAAGAUUGUGAGAUCAUUGGAACCACUUCAGAAUUCUAAUGACCCAAUUAGUGGUGUGGAGAGCUCUUAAUCUCAACAUCAAACAACCAUCAAAGUAUAAAGGGUCAUAUAUCAAGCAUUAGUGGUUUAGAACAACAUUGAAAAAGAGCCAAAUGUAUCUUUAAGUGAAGAAAUAAAUGAAAUGUCAUAAUAGCAACUUCAAUGGAAGUAUCUAAGAAGGUUUAAUGGGAGAAAGGAUUUGUUCGUUAUUUUUUCUACUCAAAAUUGGAAGAACUUAAGGUGGCAAAGUAGGUUGCAUCAAUUUUUUUUAAAGUAGCUUAAUUAUUAUUUGGUAGCAUUGAAAUAAAAGAUUGGUUCAUAUAAAUAUGAAAGUGAUAAGUGUUGCUCUUUUUUGACAAAAAGUGUGGGUUAGAGUUGCAUAUUUUUCAGAUCAUUGGAGUAAAAUAUGAGUUGAAUAGUUAUAAUAUAGCGUUGUGGGAUACUGGGAUUGGUAUGGCAGUGUAUGAAAUUUAAAGAUUCCUUAAAUAAUAAUAACCAAAAGAGGCUCUAGAUGCACGAAUAUAUUGCACAUCACAACUAUAACAUAAAUCAUAGACAUAGUAUCAUCUUAUGAUCGGUGAAUUCAAGAUUCUUCAGUUCCAUGAAUUAAGGAUAUCAUCGGGCCGUUCCUGUAAAAUUGGAGGCCCGGCUCUCUCAGUAAAAAUAGACCCCUAAAAAAAAUGAAACUUUUUUACAAGAGAGAAAAAAACUACAAUGUUAUUUUUAUUUUAUUUUUUAAAAAUAUAAUUAUAAUGUUUGUUGUUAGAACUUUGUGAUUUUAUACGACAAAGAUCAUUCUUUUAUUUGUAAAUAUGUAAUUGAACUAAAUUAGAAGGAGAAGUGGGAGUAUUAUGGACAUAUAGACCUCAAAUCUAUUCAAACUAGGCCCAAAAGGACCCUAUCAUGCUGGGAAAAAAAUACAAUUAAAAAAAUAUGAACAUUUGCCACCAGACUCAACUCCACUGUGCAUUACCGCUGGGACACGCCUUCAGUAGUAUCAAUGAUACAAUGCUAUGCGUAUAUAUUAGUAUUUUCAGUGCAUUAUGUAUUAAUAUAUAUUUUAGGCCCCAAAAUUGGGGAGGCCCGACUCUAUAGACCUGUUUGCACCUCCCCAUGGUCGGUCUUAGAUAUCAUAUAUAAUAGUGAUAAGAAUAAGAAACGACAAUAUCUCUUGAAUUCAUCCUCUUAAGAUUUAUUUGAUACUUUUGAAUGUCUCACUUUUAAUCAAUUGAUAGAUGUUUGAAUUUCUUAACUAUUUACCUCAAGGCUUGAUUAAUAAGUGGUGCAUAUAAAAAACAUGUUGGAGAAUGUCUUAAACUUUAAUAUUCAAACAUACUCACCAUGUCAUGUGUAAUAUUCAUGACUACUAGAUGAAGACUUUAUUGUGUGAUAAGAUUAUUUACGUCAAAAAAAUGUUAAAUAUCAAUAUAAAAUUUUAUUGAUCUAUUUACAAUUAGAAAUAUGUUAAAUUACUUUUCACAAUUUAGAACUUUUAUUAGGUUAAUGACCAACAUAUAAACAAAUAAACGAGAAGAGAGAAAAUAGAGUCCUUAGACCAACUACAAUGAGGGUGUUGAAAGCCAUAUUCAACAAGCAAACCAUUGGAGAGGGGGGUGUUGAAAGUGAGCUGGAGGAAAGAGAUGAUGAAUACAUUCAAUAGGUUGAAUCCUGACGCCGGAAGCCACGUGGCGCGCUCGGAUUGGGCUUUUUUUGGCGCGUGCGUUACACGCGCCGACAAGGCGCGUCUGUGACAGAGGGACGCGGAGAGAGAAACUGUUUUGGAUAGAUGCUGCCACGCGUCGCUUUCUGGUUGGCUGGCCUGGAUUUUUAUCUUCUUAAUACUUUGGACUCAAUUAUUUCAUUGCAAAUAAUUUUUUUUAUUUUUUAUUUUUUCACCAAAAUUCGUGAUUUUUUUUUCUCUAUAAAUAGAGACUUGGAUCAUUUGAUUUGGACACAGAAAAAAAAACCAUAAUUUUCACUCUCUUAAUCUUAUUAUUAGCAUUUCUUUUGAAGUUUUAGUCUUUAAUUAGUGAAAUGGAUCCCACUAACAAUCAAUCCAACACCCAAAAUUCUUCUGAUUACCCUUUUAGCUACCAAAAUCAAUUUCCCAACUCACAUCCUCAAAACCCAAAUCAAUUUCCCAACCAAUAUCCUCAAAACCCAAAUCAAUUCCUCAACCAACAUCCUCAAAACCCAAAUCAAUUCCCCAACCAAAAUCCUCAAAACAUGUCUAAUUUUGGUUUUGCCUCAAAUUUCAAUCACCCAUCCUUUGUUCCAAACAACUUUAAUCCAUAUUUUAGAUCUAUGAUGGGAUAUUCAUCUCAAACACCCCCAUUUAAUGGUUAUAUGCCAAUGGUGAAUGAAAAUUUUCAGAGUGUUGGUGAAUAUCCUGAAUUUUCAUCACAAAUAAAUCGUGGUGGAAUGACACGAGAUAAUGAAGUUGCUCCAACUCCAGAGGAUACAACUCCAAAGAGCAAGAGAAACCAACAACCAUCAUGGAACACUGAACAAAAUUUGGUGUUAAUUAGUGGGUGGAUAAAAUAUGGAACAUGCAGUGUUGUCGGAAGAAACCAGACAAGUGAAUCAUAUUGGGGUAAAAUUGCUGAGUAUUGUAACGAGCAUUGCUCAUUCGAUUCUCCGCGCGAUGUAGUUGCAUGCCGAAACCGUUUUAAUUAUAUGAACAAAUUAAUAAAUAAAUGGGUUGGUGCUUAUGAUAGCGCUAAGCGUAUGCAAGGAAGCGGUUGGUCGGAAGAUGAUGUUUUCAAAAAAGCUCAAGAAUUAUAUGGAUGUGGGAAGAAUGUUCAAUUUACUUUAAUGGAAGAAUGGCGCGCUCUCCGAGAUCAACCACGGUAUGGUAGUCAAGUGGGAGGAAAUGUUGACUCAGGAAGUAGUGGAUCUAAGAGAUCUUACGAGGACUCUGUAGGAUCUAGUGCUCGUCCAAUGGGUAGGGAUGCAGCUAAAAAAAAAGGUAAGAAGAAAAGCAAGGGCGAGACAUUGGAGAAGGUGGAAAAGGAAUGGGUUCAAUUCAAAGAAUUAAAAGAGCAAGAGAUUGAACAAUUGAAAGAGUUAACUUUGGUGAAACAACAGAAAAACAAGUUGCUGCAAGAAAAGACUCAAGCUAAAAAAAUGAAAAUGUAUCUAAAGUUAAGGGACGAAGAGCAUCUCGAUGACCGGAAGAAUGAGCUGUUGGGGAAGUUGGAGCGUGAGCUGUUUGAAAAUUAAUUUUAAUCAAAUAUUUGUUUGUAUUCAGUCAACAUUAUCAGUGUUGUCUAGUCCCGACUGUUUGCUUUAAUAUUUGUCAGUGUUGUCUAGUCCGUAGUGUUUGCUUUAAUAAUUAUCAGAGUGUUGUCUAGUCCUCACUGUUUGCUUUAAUAAUUAUCAGAGUUUUGUCUAGUCCUCACUGUUUGCUUUAAUAAUUAUCAGAGUGUUGUCUAGUCCUCACUGUUUGCUUUAAUAAUUAUCAGUGUUUGCUUUAAUACAAUACAAUAACUUAUUUCGAAUCCGUUAGUGUCCACCACACAAUGUACUUAUAUAUAGGGACUCAUGUCUACUUCCAAUAUCACAAAUCUCAUUCCUAUCUAUUUCCAAUAUCACAAAUCUCAUUCCUAUCUAUUUCCAAUAUCACCAAAGACUAUCAAUGGAUCCUUUUGAUAUCGAAGCCUACAAACAAAAACGUGAUAUUGAAGACACUUAUAUCGUCAACCGAUUUAUUCAGCGUCGAAAAGAAUUAGAGGAAGGUAGUGGAUCUCGUAGUAGAAAAUAUUUAAAUAGAGAUCAUGCAGCGGCAAACCAAAGACUCAUUGACGACUACUUUGCCAAUGAGCCUACAUAUGACGAUGCAAUGUUUCGUCGUCGGUACCGGAUGCAAAAGCAUGUUUUCCUUCGAAUCGUUGGAGACCUUUCAAUUACUGAUAACUACUUCACCCAGCGAGUUGAUGCCGCCAACAAAGAAGGUAUAUCACCGUUAGCAAAAUGUACCACAGCAAUGCGAAUGUUAGCAUAUGGCGUGGCAGCAGAUGCGGUCGAUGAAUACAUCAAAAUAGGAGGUACUACAGCAUUGGAGUGCUUACGUAGAUUCUGUAAAGGAAUCAUACGAUUGUAUGAGGAAGUGUACCUGAGAGCACCAAACCAAGAUGACCUUCAAAGAAUACUACAUGUUAGUGAAAUGCGGGGGUUCCCAGGGAUGAUCGGGAGUAUUGACUGCAUGCACUGGGAGUGGAAAAAUUGUCCUAAAGCAUGGGAAGGUCAAUUCACCAGGGGGGAUAAGGGAACCACCACAGUUAUUCUUGAAGCAGUUGCAUCUCAUGAUCUAUGGAUCUGGCAUGCCUUUUUUGGAUGUCCAGGAACGUUGAACGAUAUCAAUGUUCUAGACCGGUCACCGGUGUUUGAUGAUGUGGAACAGGGAAAGGCUCCACGGGUGAAUUUCUUUGUGAAUCAACGUCCCUAUAAUAUGGCAUACUAUCUAGCUGAUGGUAUCUACCCUUCUUAUCCAACUUUCGUCAAAUCAAUUAGACUUCCUCAAAGUGAACCUGAUAAGUUAUUCGCAAAACAUCAGGAGAGCUGUCGGAAGGACAUCGAACGUGCUUUUGGAGUGCUUCAAGCUCGAUUUAAAAUCAUCCGUGAACCAGCUCGCUUGUGGGACAUAGCCGAUUUGGGUAUCAUCAUGAGGUCAUGCAUCAUAUUGCAUAAUAUGAUUGUUGAGGAUGAACGAGAUACAUAUGCUCAACGUUGGACCGAUUUUGAGCAAUCUGAGGGAAGUGGAUCUAGUACAGCACAACCAUACUCGACCGAGGUGUUACCCACUUUUGCAAAUCAUGUGCGUGCUAGAUCCGAGUUGCGUGAUCCAAAUGUUCAUCACGAAUUGCAAGCAGAUCUAGUGAAGCACAUAUGGACAAAGUUUGGAAUGUUUCACGAUUGAAGAUGAUUUGUAUCGAACUAAGUAAAUUACUUGUGUGUUGUGUGCUUGUUUGUUGUCUUGCAUUUUAAGCUAUUUGUGUGACCCGUACUUAGUUUGUUGUAUUGCAUUUUAUUUAUGUUAAGAAAAUAAAAAUAAAUUAUUUAAAUAAAUUUUGUUUUUACAAAAAAAAAAAAAUUGUUAAGUGUUUCUUCAUUUUAAUUUAAUUAUAAUCGAUAAUUGUAAUUUUAUGUAAUUAUAAAAACAAAAAUAUAAAAUUAAAUAAGAAUAAGAAAUAAAAGGUGGUGGGGUAGGGUGUUGAAUAAAAAACCAUUGGAGAGGUAAAAAUUGAAUGGGUGUUGAAUUAAGAGAGAGAAAAUGAUGUGGAGUGUUGGGAAUUGAAAAAGUGGGUGUUGAAGGUUAUUGAAUGUAUUUUACCAUUGUAAAUGGUCUUAGAGAGAGAGGGGGAGGGAGGGAGGACGGUCCAUAUCCACACACUCCACUCAUGUCUCAAUAGAGUGGCCACUUCACUAGGUUAUUUUGGAUGAAUUGAAUAGUACUUAUACUUUAUUUUAUUGGUGGGUUAAAAUCAUCUGUAUUUAGAGUUUUUCUAAUUACACCCUGUUUAAUCAUGGCUGCACUCCAAAAUGACAGAAUUAUCCUUCUAUAAAAUUUAAUUUUCAAAAAGCAUCUUCCUUUUUUCUUGGUUACACCCUAAAAUUCUUCUUCAGUUUAAGUAAGUCAUGUAAACUUAGUUUCAGUAGAUCAUGUAAACUAAAUUUAAGUGUACAUACUUAAACUCAGUUUAAGUAGUUAAUGUAAACCGAGUUUAAGUGUACAUUUAAAAGUUCAACCUUGUUCAAUGAUUCUACGUAAUCUCAGUUUAAGUAUGUACAUGUAAACUUAUUUUAAGUAGGUCAUGUAAACUAAGUUUAAGUGUACAUACUUAAACUCAGUUUAAGUAGAUCAUGUAAACUUAAUUUAAGUAGCUCAUGUAAACUUAGUUUAAGUAUACAUACUUAAACUCAGUUUAAGUAGGUCAUGUAAACUCAGUUUAAGUAGGUCAUGUAAACUGAGUUUAAGUGUACAUCUAAAAGUUCAACUUUGUUCAAUGAUUAUACGUAAUAUCAGUUUAAGUAUGUACAUGUAAACUUAGUUUAAGUAGGUCAUGUAAAUCGAGUUUAAGUAGAUUAUGUAAACUAAGUUUACAUGAACCUACUUAAACUGAAUUUAAGUUAACCUCAACAAUGUAAAACUGAAACUGUCGUACAGUACAGUUGAACAAGAAGAACAAAAUUGAAACCAACGUUAUUGAAAAAAAAAGAAAAAAUUCACUUAUUUAUAUGCAAUCGAGUAUGAAUGAAAGAUGUUUUGAUUCACUUUUUAAUCUUCCAUAGAGAUUAAUUGAACAUCAGGAUUGUUUGAUCGUAGGUGGGUGAAAGAGAGUGAAAUUUUAGUGUGACAAUGAAUGAAAUCAAGAUUUUAAAUUUUUUUGUAUAAAAGGACAAUUUUGGUAUUAUCAAAAACUUUUUUAAAAAACUGGAUGUAACCAGAAAUAUAUAGGGUAUGAAUAGAAAAACUCUUGUAUUUAUUGUUGUUUAUUAAUAAAAAUUUGUUUAAUGUUCAAAAAUAAAACAACUAAAAUUAAAAAUAUAUUGACCAUAAAUAUUAAAUUAUCCUUCCUCCUCUUCUCUUUCCUCUUGACUCCAAAACAAAGUCUAAGACACAAGAGACAAAAUACUACAUAUUUAACUACAACUAUUGUUUUUGUUGUACCCACAUCUCCUUUUUUCAACUUGAUCUUAAAACAAUCAAUUAAAGUAGCAGCCAUAACAAAACCUGUUCUCAUUUUAUCCUUCUUCUCGACGGUCUAACAAAGAACCCGAUCAGACAUAUGACCCCAUUCAAACACACAAAUACUUUUCAACACCUAUUUAUGUAUUACAUAGUGUUGACUUGACAAACAAUGGUCGCUUGAAUUGACAAUUAUGCCCUUGGGUGGCACCUAACCACCUUUUAUGUGUGGAAAAAAUCAUUGUUCUCACACGUGUAUAUUUGUUUUUCUUCUCUUUCAAGCUCUUUGCUUAUGCAGUUAUGCAAAUUUCCCUUAUCAAAAAUUGAAAAAUUCUACUUGUAGUUACUAGUUACUCUCUUUUGGUUGCACUGAAAAUUAACAAUAGACAAGAAAGGAUCUAACAAUUCUGUGUUCUAUGAUGAUGGGUUGCUGCUUUAGUGCAAAGGUCAAAGCUGAGAGUCCUACACAUAAUGGUACUAUUCUUAUUUUAUUUUUCAACUUUUUUACUUGUUAUCUCAGCUCAAUUUUGAUUGUUUGGAUUUCAGUUCUGAAUGAUCUAAUAUAUUAUGUUCCUUGUUAUAUAAUUAAGGAAAUUAAAAUAGUUGUAGGAUUCUCUAUACUUUCUGUAUAUUUAUUAUCUAAUGAAUACUAUGUGAUGAGUUAUGUUGUGUCUAUUGGUUUGAGUGAGGAAAUUUUGUUUAGAAAUUAUUAAGGGGUGAUCAUAGAUCUCCUCUAGCUAUGAAAAUAUUCCAUCUAUCUCUAAUUCAAUCAUACUUUUUAUACUUGAAAUUUCUAAGAAUAAAUUUUGCAUCUAGUUUAGGUAGAUUCAGCCAUGAAGUGGUGUGUGGAUUAAAAUAUGUGUUAAAAGAAAUUUAGGGUACAAUGAUAAUGAGUUUGAACGAUUUAAUUCAUACAGUUCUUGAACUCGACGAUCGUGAUCUUAUAACAGUUGGUUUUAUAGGUGAAAGGUAGAGAAAGAGUGAGGGAAAAAUCAAUAAUACAGAAAAAAUUCUUCAAGAGAAUGUAAGAAGUUUUCCUUUUCUUGCACUUUGAGAUACAAUGCAUUGCAUAGUUGCAUGAUUGUUAUUGUACCUUCUUUUCUUCUACUGUGUUGGCACUUGGCCUCUAUUUUCCAUAAAAAAUUGUCAGCGUGAAUCAGAACAGUAUGACUUAAAUUAUGGAAUUAAUGUUAUUAAAAUUAUUCCUAGAAAAACUACUGCCAGAAUAAGGCCUAAGAAGUUAAUUUGUGUUCUGAGAUAAACAGGUUUGAAUUCAAAGGUUGUUGGGAGAGAGGAGGAUGUUUCGAGUGGUUUAAGUAGAAGGGCCUCUUCUUCAUCUGUGCUUCUAAGCUCUAGGACCGAGGGUGAGAUAUUGCAAUCAAACUAUUUGAAGUGUUUCACUAUCAAUGAGGUAAGAGCCGCGACAAGGAACUUUCGUCCAGAUAGUAUGAUUGGCGAAGGUGGAUUUGGUUGUGUAUUUAAGGGUUGGAUCGAUGAGCACACACUAGCUCCUACUAAACCAGGUACUGGUUUUGUUAUUGCUGUCAAGAGGCUUAACCAAGAAAGCAGUCAGGGACAUAGUGAAUGGUUGGUGAGUCUCAUUUUAGGCUCAAAAAUUAGUUCUUUUUUAGAAGUAUGUUAUUAACUUUCCUAGAAUUAAUGUUAUAGUAAUUGAGAAUUUCAUUGCAUUUGAAGUUAUGAAAAUAUCAAAUUAGUUUAGGACACUUGUUUUUUUAGUAUUUAAACACAUGUUGUAAUCUGUAACUUUAAGCUUGAAUAAUAGAAAAUCACUAUAUCCACCAUGUAGUUAGAGACGUUGGCACAAUUGGCCAAACUCAAUGAUCAAAUCUCGUGUUUUCUUUGUAACCAGGGUUGUUAUUCUAACAUGAACCUUGUAUUUCAUAGACAGAAAUCAAUUACCUUGGACAGCUGCAUCAUCCAAAUCUAGUGAAACUGAUAGGUUACUGCUUAGAGGAUGACUACCGGAUUUUGGUAUAUGAAUUUGUGACCAAGGGAAGUUUGGAUAAUCAUUUGUUUAGAAGUAUGUUAUUAACUUUCAUCCUUCAAUUAGUCUUUUUUUCAAGUUUUUUUAUUAGUUGAUAUCGUUUACUAGUUACUAUAUUAAAUCCCUGAAAAUCUCAUCUCUACCUAAUGUUUAUGGAUCAGGAGCUUCUUACUUUCAGCCACUCUCUUGGAAAAUCCGAAUGAAGAUAGCUCUUGAUUCUGCUAAGGGUCUUGCAUUUCUUCACAGUGAUGAAGUCGAAGUGAUAUAUCGAGACUUCAAAACUUCUAACAUCUUGAUUGAUUCUGUAAGUGGAUUACGUUGAUCUUACUAGCUAAGAGCUAGACAGAUUACUAAUUAGACUUGCUUUGUAACAUUCCGUUUUGUUAACAAACAGAACUAUAAUGCAAAGCUCUCAGAUUUUGGGAUGGCAAAAGAUGGACCAGAAGGUGGUAAGAGUCAUGUCUCUACAAGGAUAAUGGGCACCCCAGGCUAUGCAGCGCCUGAGUAUUUGGCCACAGGUAUCAUCAAAUUAUUUUUGCAUUACUACUAAUAUAUUUCAUCAUAUGAUAGUGGAUGAGAAAUUUGGACCUGGAAGUUAUAUAUUUCCUGAACAAUUUAUGACCAAUAUAUUAUUUGCAUUAUGUUGAAACAGCUAGGAAAAAGAUAGUAUCUACUCGUUCGAAUUGACAUUUAAUUCUUCCGACAUACAUCCAGCUUCCUCUAAUGGAAAUUACAGUUUACUUUAUUGUAUUUAGACUCAGAUGCUGUCUACAUUUUAAUUCAAAUUCAACAAGCAAUGCUGACAAAAACCCUCCACUUUUAGUAUGCCAAUGUUUGAAUUCACGGCCAGACACAGAAGUCGUAAAACAUGGUUUGACCACAAAUUAGUUAUGCUUGGCGUUUGGUCCCCUAUAUUGAUCCAGUCCCAAAGUCAAUUUUUCCAAAAAGCUUAGAUUUCUAGCUUUGUGAUGAAAUAAAAUCAAUUCUCAAAUUUAUUAAAAAUGUCAAAUACAUACACACUCAAUCAUCUAAACCAUUCCAACUUGAAUUAAUAAAAAUCAAUUUUUCGUGAAUGCUACAAACAAAUCAUUAUACACUCAACUCAUUUUUUUUUUACCACAAUCCAUUCAUUUGAAAUCGAUUUUCUUCACCACAGAACCAUGUAUUCACUACAUGAUUUCACUUCCCCUCCCCAACUACUAUGUGCUGCUAGUCCUCGCUUUAGUAAGGUCUAUAGUCAGUAGUGAUUAUUACAUCUUACAACAACAGAAUGGGGAAAAAAAACUACAAUUUCAUUCCUAACCUUUUUUUUUUUGUUAUCUUUUUUGUGAAGGUCACCUAACUAAAAAGAGCGAUGUCUACAGUUUCGGGGUUGUUCUCCUAGAAAUUAUGUCAGGCAAGCGUGUAUUGGAUAAAAACCGACCGUCUGGAGAGCAUG